GACGAACGCUGGCGGCGUGCUUAACACAUGCAAGUCGAGCGAUGAAGCUCCUUCGGGAGUGGAUUAGCGGCGGACGGGUGAGUAACACGUGGGUAACCUGCCUCAUAGAGGGGAAUAGCCUUCCGAAAGGAAGAUUAAUACCGCAUAACAUUGCAGUACCGCAUGGUACAGCAAUUAAAGGAGCAAUCCGCUAUGAGAUGGACCCGCGUCGCAUUAGCUAGUUGGUGAGGUGACGGCUCACCAAGGCGACGAUGCGUAGCCGACCUGAGAGGGUGAUCGGCCACAUUGGGAGUGAGACAUGGCCCAGACUCCUACGGGAGGCAGCAGUGGGGAAUAUUGCACAAUGGGGGAAACCCUGAUGCAGCAACGCCGCGUGAGUGAUGACGGUCUUCGGAUUGUAAAACUCUGUCUUUGGGGACGAUAAUGACGGUACCCAAGGAGGAAGCCACGGCUAACUACGUGCCAGCCGCCGCAGUAACAC
rnacentral:rRNA from 1 species